AAACUUUCAACAACGGAUCUCUUGGUUCUGGCAUCGAUGAAGAACGCAGCGAAAUGCGAUAAGUAAUGUGAAUUGCAGAAUUCAGUGAAUCAUCGAAUCUUUGAACGCACAUUGCGCCCCUUGGUAUUCCGGGGGCAUGCCUGUUCGAGCGUCAUUACA
rnacentral:rRNA from 1 species